GAGGCGACCAAGACGGCAGUUCCCAGGCAGCGGCGGUUGCACACGGCACAAGAUUUCCUCCGCGCGUGUCCUUCCGAGAGAUCUCUUGGGAUAAAGUGUUCUUGUUUUCCUUUUCGGCUUCGACGACGCCUCCUCCAGCAUGGGCGGAACUGCUUGCUGCCGCGACGGACGAUGCUGCGGGUGCUGCUCCCUUCGCGCCGGUGCCCUGGCCAUUGCUAUUCUGAACCUGUUGGUCUCCAUUGUUGGCGUGGUGUUAGUCAUAUACUUCUCUAGUAGAGGAGGCUCUGUACAGUGGGUAAGGCUCGCCAUCCACGUCAUCCAGCUGAUUUUCAACUGUCUCCUUAUUCAUGGCAUUCGGAAGG